rnacentral:ncRNA from 1 species
CGGACCAAGGAGUCUAACGUGUGCGCGAGUCAACGGUGUAUCUUACGAAAAACCACGUUUGGCGCAAUGAAAGUGAACCGUUUACGGUGCGGACGAUGGCCUAGCGACCGAACCCACCGGCGUUCAAAGUCGCGCUGGUCCGCAGUCCGGGGGCGUCUCCGCCAAGUCGGCUUCGGCCGGCUGGGGGCGCACCCUUAGCGCACACGUUGGUACCCGAAAGAUGGUGAACUAUGCCUGGCCAGGAUGAAGUCAGGGGAAACCCUGAUGGAGGUCCGCAGCGAUUCUGACGUGCAAAUCGAUCGUCUGAGCUGGGUAUAGGGGCGAAAGACUAAUCGAACCAUCUAGUAGCUGGUUCCAUCCGAAGUUUCCCUCAGGAUAGCUGGCGCCGAUGUGUCCCGCCCGUUCGCGGGCGUACGGACGCCGGUGGGACUCCGCGCUGUACGGCGCGGUAACAACACGCUCGUAACACGGAGGAUGUCUCAUACGGUAAAGCGAAUGAUUAGAGGACAUUGGGGCCGAAACGACCUCAACCUAUUCUCAAACUAUAAAUGAGUGAGAUCGCCGGCUUUACCUGGUACACCGCGUGAACCGCGUGCGAAGCCGGCGACGGAACCCUAGGCGCUUAGUGGGCCAUUUUUGGUAAGCAGAACUGGCGCUGCGGGAUGAACCGAACGCCGAGUUAAGGCGCCGAAAUCGACGCGUAUUCAGAGACCAUGAAAGGCGUUGGUUGCUGAUGACAGCAGGACGGUGGCCAUGGAAGUCGGAAUCCGCUAAGAGUGUGUAACAACUCACCUGCCGAAGCAACUAGCUCUGAAAAUGG